CAGAUUGGGUCCUUACAUUUUGGUUCAGUUGUGCUGGCUUUACUUAGGCUUUACGAACCACACUUACUCAGGUUGGGUCCUUCAAUUUUGAUGAUGUUCUGCAGCUUGAUGUCAAGAUGCCACCUAAAUUAUUCUAUCAUUCCUGCUAUCUAUUAUCUGUUAGCUUAAGUCUUGAAAAUGAGUAUUGGUACCUAUAUAUCUCUUUUGUUGGUGUCAGCAUGCUAUCUAAUGAUGCCAACGUCCUUUUUAUUGUAAUGAAAUUAAUGGAUGCUGUAUCAGACUUGUCGUUAUCAUUAUGGAUGAUAUGGUUGAUCGAACAUCUCGUUGCAUUUACUUGUUUUCAAC